rnacentral:rRNA from 1 species
GACGAACGCUGGCGGCGUGCUUAACACAUGCAAGUCGAACGGAAAGGCCCUGCUUUUGUGGGGUGCUCGAGUGGCGAACGGGUGAGUAACACGUGAGUAACCUGCCCUUGACUUUGGGAUAACUUCAGGAAACUGGGGCUAAUACCGGAUAUGAGCUCCUGCUGCAUGGUGGGGGUUGGAAAGUUUCGGCGGUUGGGGAUGGACUCGCGGCUUAUCAGCUUGUUGGUGGGGUAGUGGCUUACCAAGGCUUUGACGGGUAGCCGGCCUGAGAGGGUGACCGGCGACAUUGGGACUGAGAUACGGACCAGACUCGUACGGGAGGCAGCAGUGGGGAAUAUUGCACAAUGGGCGGAAGCCUGAUGCAGCAACGCCGCGUGCGGGAUGACGGCCUUCGGGUUGUAAACCGAUGUCGCCGGUGACGAAGAGUGAGUGACGGUAAUGGGUAAAGAAGCACCGGCUAACUACGUG